CUAAUCACUAAACCGUUAGACAGAGAAUGCUCUUCGCCAUCAAAAGCGUGGUGGCCAUGAGCUCAGUCGCUGACUCGCUGCUCUGUCUUGUGUUUUCUCCGUAGAUCGAAAGUCAUGCCCAGCAAGAGAGAAGGCGGCGAUGUCGGUUGCGGUUCCAUUUCCAGUGAGAGUGAAAGCUUCAUGGGAUACACAACCAAGAACGAUUCCGAAUACCAAUCACAGCAGCUUUUCGAAGAACAAAAACCCUAAUGUGCUCCAUCAAUCUACUCCUCAAAGUAGAAUAACAAUCUCAACUACUGCAACCAGAGAACUUUCUGCUUCGGAGCUUCUGGGCUUGAACAGACGCUCCCCUUCUCAAGGGAAAUCGGAAGAAUUAUAUCUGGGUUACGAGAGAUGGUUGCCGGCUGCACCAGAAGUGAAAAAGCCUAGAUCCAUCUAUAAUGCGGCGACGUUAGCAUAUAUGGGGGAUUCUAUUUAUGAGGUUUCUUCUACCAUCUUAGGAGCGUAUGUUGCCACAGCGUCUGUGACUCUGACGAAGAUAUUCUCAUUGCCAAUCAAGUCUGUAAACUUGGAUGCAUGAAGUUUUUCCAUCACCAGCGGCCCAGGAUUCGCUAAGACAAGCUAAGCAAGACAAUUAUGGGACUAAUAAGGUACUUCUGCCAUACAUGAUAAGCACAAGGAAAUAUUCAAGUAUUUAAAUUUCUUUUGUAUUUGAGAGAUGUGCAUCAUAAUUGGCUUACCGUUAAUGCUAUCACACCAGCCACGACACCAACCUUAAUACCUGACACUAGGUACCUGAGGUACGGCAAGGCUAGCUAUGGUGAGUCCGGCGAUGAUAUCUCCUUUCAACUUUGUUAAAUUGUAGUCUCUUCCCCACUCAAAAAUUGGAAAAAUUGAUUGGAGAACUAACAUGAACUUUUUUGACCAAGUUUGGCCUCUGAAUUGGCGUAAAGGAUCAUCUGGAAAGAAAGUUUCCUUGAAAGUUGCUUUGAUUCCCUUGAAGAGAUUUUGUCUGGUAGGCAUUCCCACCCUGUGAACAUAUGGCAAGUCCUCUACAAUUUCCAUCUCCUUUGAAUCAAACUCUUCAAUGGAAUAAUGAGUCAUUUAUUGGAAACAGACACUAUUGAUGAAGUUUCAACACAAAUGGGAUGUAUUCACCUGUACAAACAGAAAAACAAACUGUCACUGAUUGCAAUUUAGAAAUGACAUAUAAAUUUGGUCUAAACUCUAGACCUGGUUUCAGAA